UGGGGAAUAUUGCACAAUGGAGGGAACUAGGAUGCAGCGACGCCGCGUGAACGAAGAAGGCUUUCGAGUCGUAAAGUUCUUUUAUAUGGGAAGAUAAUGACGGUACCAUAAGAAAAAGCCCCGGCUAACUACGUGCCAGCAGCCGCGGUAAUACGUAGGGGGCUAGCGUUGUCCGGAAUCACUGGGCGUAAAGGGUUCGCAGGCGGAAAUGCAAGUCAGGUGUAAAAGGCAGUAGCUUAACUACUGUAAGCAUUUGAAACUGCAUAUCUUGAGAAGAGUAGAGGUAAGUGGAAUUUUUAGUGUAGCGGUGAAAUGCGUAGAUAUUAAAAAGAAUACCGGUGGCGAAGGCGACUUACUGGGCUCAUUCUGACGCUGAGGAACGAAAGCGUGGGUAGCAAACAGG
rnacentral:rRNA from 1 species